AUACGUAGGGUGCGAGCGUUAAUCGGAAUUACUGGGCGUAAAGCGUGCGCAGGUGGUUUUGUAAGUCAGAUGUGAAAUCCCCGGGCUUAACCUGGGAACUGCGUUUGAAACUGCAAGGCUAGAGUGUGGCAGAGGGGGGUGGAAUUCCGCGUGUAGCAGUGAAAUGCGUAGAGAUGUGGAGGAACACCGAUGGCGAAGGCAGCCCCCUGGGUUAACACUGACGCUCAGGCACGAAAGCAUGGGGAGCAAACAGGAUUAGAAACCCGAGUAGUCC
rnacentral:rRNA from 1 species